rnacentral:rRNA from 1 species
CUGAAGUUCACAUAUGUGUUGGCUGGCUGGGAAGGAUCAACACAUGAUGUUAAUAUUCUCAGUGACAACAUGAGUCGUCAUGAUGGCAUCAACAUCCCCAAUGGUAAGUUCUACCUAGGGGAUGCUGACUAUGCAUGUCGGCCAGGUGUUCUUCUACCCUUUAGGAAAACCAUGUACCAUCUGAACGAGUUCUCUAGUAGGAACUAUCCUAGGACUCCCCAGGAACUGUUCAAUCUCGGACACUCCAGCCUUAGAGUUACCGUUGAGAGGGACUUUGGAGCUCUGAAGAACAAGUUUAAGAUCAUGGAUCAGAAGCCAUUCCACCCUUAG